rnacentral:rRNA from 1 species
UACGUUCCCGGACCUUGCACACACCGCCUGUCAAGCCAUGGAAGCUGGGUGUACCUAAAGUCGGUAACCGCAAGGAGCCGCCUAGGGUAAAACUAGUGACUGGGGCU